AGUUACUGUCUCCAACUGAUCCCAAGUGACCCAGACAACAUUGUCUAUCUACCAAUAUCCAUAAAUGUUGAGGGCUUUCAAUUUCUGUAUUUUGUGCUUUAUUUAGUGACACCCAUGCAUUGUUUUGGGUGAGGAACAUGGAAAAGCACAUAACUGAAGACUGCAACUCUUUAUCAGCGUCAGUUGUAAACAUUGAUUAUGUGGCAACCCAAGGCAGGUGAGGUUGUUCCAUUUUUCUUUUAAAAUUAGGUUAAACCAACAGUUGGAGUACACAGUAGGCUACCAGUAUUAAUUCUUGAGUGACUUCAGGUGUAUUAUUAACUUCGGCUGUGAGAUACAUCAAAACUUCCUGUCUCUUAGAAUGUAAGAGAACUUUCAUAAUAGUGAUUUACCAUAAUGGACUCUUUGGGACAGCUCCUAUUGCUGAAUAAACCUUGAUUUCCAGUCCAGGCAAGAGCAUCUACCUAGAAGUCAAUCGAGACUGACAAUAUACUUACAUCAUGAAUUAGUCUUAUAGGGAGCUGUGUAUUUAGAUAGGAAGCUGAGACCCACAGUCCUAAGGCGCAGCUGAAAUGGAGGCUGUUUUCUAGUUACAAGAUGUGAAUCAUUAGCAUGUUUUGGUUACAUGUGGGAAGAAAGUGAGAGAGGUUAAUGAUGCUGUAAACCAUACUAUAUCUAUGUGGCUAUAAUUUAUAUGUUCCAGAAAGCAGCUAUAUUGUCUUUCUUGUUUUGUUCCCUGUGUUCCUGGUAUUCCUGUAAUAGAGAGUGAAUGCCUGUAAAGAAAAUAAUAUAAAGGAACCUGCAAGUGAUGCUAAAAUUACUGUUUCUGCAUCCUUAUCAUUUGAUAGUUCAGAUGUGAUACUUUCCUACCUAUUUCACUGGAAGGACACCUUAUUGCCUUCCUUGACUGCUUCUUACCCAUUCUUUCACCACAAAGCUCCAGCAAUGCCUGUAGCCCACAUGAGUGCAUACUAUUUCUCCAUCUAAAACUACUUAACUGAAUGAGGACCGUCCCUUCUCCAUGAACUACUUAACUGUUGGUGACUUGUUUUCUACUUAUUUCUCAAGCUAUGUGGCUCUUUUUUGCCUUUCCCUAUCUAAUCCAGGAUAUAGGCAUAUGGAACUCAUUUCAAUACUUCCAACAUGUUACCAUGCCAACUGCUGCACUGUCUUGUUUCUACUGCCUUUGGUACCUACCUUCUGAGGAUAGGGGCCGUGCUCAUCCUAAUAUUGUAAAUUUGUUUUAUAAAGUCAUUAUGAGAUACUAUAAAACACUCACAGCAUUUAUCUUUGUUCUUUCCUAUCCUGUUCAGUGUGUCUUGCAAUGUCUGUAAAUUACUAUUUCCCAAUUUCCAUACUGAUUGUUGGCAAGGCACUGAAGUCAGAUUUGAACUUAAAUUUGAUGUGGAUGAUGAGCAAUUUACUACAUAAUCAUAUUUACUUAUCAAUCUAAAAAGAAAACUCUUUAAUGCGUGUUUAUAUGAGUUUUAAAAAUAUAACUUAAACCACAUUGAGCAAUAAAGAUUUUCUAGAAAACAUUAAUCAGUAAACAUAGCAAGAAUAAAACUUAAAUUUUUUUUAAGUCCUCAGAAACUAAGUUUAAAAGAUGAUUAAAGGACUUGAGCAGAAAUUUUCAAAAAAAGAUACACAAUUGACCAGCAGUUAUAUGAGAAGUUGAUUUCAUGAUUUUCGACUGAACAAUGCAAGGUCAAACCAAAAUUUGGCAUUGAUUUUCACAUAGGAUAUCUAUAAUCAGUUAGAUGGACAAUAUCAAGUCUGACAAACUGUGAAAAAUUGGAACCUUCACAAAUUGCUUAUAGGAAUAUAAAAUAAUGCCACUGCAUAGGAGGAGAGCUUGGUACUUUUCAGUGUCCAGCAGUUGGCCUCUUACCCUAGGAAUUGAAAGCAUAUAUACCUAAAAACAAAACAAAACAAAACAUCAUGUGAACAAAUGCUAAUGCUGUCAUUCUUCAUCAUAAGCAGAAGGGAGAAUGACCAGAAUGAUGAUGAACUAAUAAAGAAACACAAUGGAAUAGAUGAACUCGAUAAAGUAUUAAACUGCCAUCAAAAUAUGUAAAGUACUACCAUAUCUAUAGCACCUUCCCCCACUCCUGCUUCCCUGCCCUUGCUUUCCCCUACACGGGGGCAUGAUUUAUCUAACAGUGUUGUCCUUUGUUUGCCUGGUAACUUUUGCAUGUACUGCUUCUCGUCACAAGUAUGAUCUGUUUCACUAAAAUUUCUGAUGCUCAGAACUCAAGAAGAGAUGAAGUGGGCAGCUUGCCUACUCUGUUGUUACUUCAAAAUUUGCACAACUCUAUAUUCUUUGGUAUUUAGGAGUGGUCACGGAUCUUAUCUGUCAAGGCCAUUGUAAUAAAUAUUCAAACCUAGAUUAUAGGAAAGGGUUUGAGGGUGGUUUGUAUACUUCUGAUUACAAUAUCCCUUUUGAUAUUGUUUUUAUCUCCUUUAUGUUUGCAUGUCUCACCUCUUUUUACCCCUUAGCAGAAAUUCUCAAAUAUUUAAGUAUACAAAAUCUAAUAUCAUGGGAGAAACUUUAAGUAUGUAUCUAAUGCUUUCUUUAUAUGCACAUCUUCCAUUUUUAUUUUCCACUCUGCCCUUUUUAAUUUCUCAUCUUUUAUAGUUUAUGUAAUAAUAACCUUCAGAGCAGUUUGCAUUUGUUAUCUCUUUUACUGUGAAUAUCUAAGUUAUGAGUGAUGUCUAAUUGUCUUGGUAUUACAAAUAACAUCAUGUGAGCUAAGGUUGUUGAAAACAGUAUCCUGUAGAGCUUGAAUGGGCCAAAGGCUGAAGCAUCCUUAGGCACUCAUCUCCACAUGUCACAGUGCAAGCCUAGCAGAGUUGAAGUAGAUUCCCCGCAGUAUGAAAAGCAUCAAAUACAAAGCAGAUGAUAGCCUGCCCAAAGCCUGCAGGAAUAGUCAGAGACAUUAUCAUAGGUUUUACAUGGAAGACAAUGGGAGCCUUCUAGAUUAAGUAGGAGAGCUCCCUUGACAGAAGGCCUGUAACUUAGAUGAGGUAAUGAGUACAAAGCAUAAACAAAGAAUGAUCAGCCAGCCUGGGGUAACAAAUUUGACCACCUUGUAAAGCAAUCUUUUAAGUAGAAAAUAACCAGGCUAUGUUACUUAGGUAACUUCAGUACAAAAGGG
rnacentral:lncRNA from 1 species